rnacentral:rRNA from 1 species
GACGAACGCUGGCGGCGUGCUUAACACAUGCAAGUCGAACGCUGAAGCUUGGUGCUUGCACUGGGUGGAUGAGUGGCGAACGGGUGAGUAAUACGUGAGUAACCUGCCCUUGACUCUGGGAUAAGCCUGGGAAACUGGGUCUAAUACUGGAUACGACAUGCCACUGCAUGGUGGUGUGUGGAAAGGGUUUUACUGGUUUUGGAUGGGCUCACGGCCUAUCAGCUUGUUGGUGGGGUAAUGGCCUACCAAGGCGACGACGGGUAGCCGGCCUGAGAGGGUGACCGGCCACACUGGGACUGAGACACGGCCCAGACUCCUACGGGAGGCAGCAGUGGGGAAUAUUGCACAAUGGGCGGAAGCCUGAUGCAGCGACGCCGCGUGAGGGAUGACGGCCUUCGGGUUGUAAACCUCUUUCAGCACGGAAGAAGCGAGAGUGACGGUACGUGCAGAAGAAGCGCCGGCUAACUGCGUG